AACGAACGCUGGCGGCGUGCCUAACACAUGCAAGUCGAACGUGAAAGGGGCUUCGGCCCUGAGUAAAGUGGCGCACGGGUGAGUAACGCGUGGGUAAUCUGCCCUCGGGAUUGGGAUAACCCGCCGAAAGGUGGGCUAAUACCGGAUAACGUCCUCCUGCACAGGCAGGAAGACCAAAGGUGGCUUCGGCUGCCGCUUGAGGAUGAGCCCGCGUACCAUUAGCUAGUUGGCAGGGUAAUGGCCUACCAAGGCGACGAUGGUUAGCUGGUCUGAGAGGACGACCAGCCACACUGGAACUGAGACACGGUCCAGACUCCUACGGGAGGCAGCAGUGGGGAAUAUUGGACAAUGGGCGCAAGCCUGAUCCAGCAAUACCGCGUGUGUGAAGAAGGCCUUAGGGUUGUAAAGCACUUUCAAUGGGGAGGAAAACCUGCCGGUCAAUACCCGGUAGCUUGACAUUACCCAUAGAAGAAGCACCGGCUAACUCCGUGCCAGCAGCCGCAGUAAUAC
rnacentral:rRNA from 1 species